GCCUGAGAGGUUCAGUCGGUUAAGCACCCGACUUUGGCUCAGGUCAUGAUCUUAUAGUUCAUGGGUUCAAGCCCCAUGUCAGGCU
rnacentral:tRNA from 1 species